rnacentral:rRNA from 1 species
UACAGAGGGUGCGAGCGUUAAUCGGAAUUACUGGGCGUAAAGCGCGCGUAGACGGUUUUGUAAGUCAGAUGUGAAAUCCCUGGGCUCAACCUGGGAACUGCAUUUGAGACUGCAUGGCUAGAGUAUCGAAGAGGGAAGUGGAAUUUCCGGUGUAGCGGUGAAAUGCGUAGAUAUCGGAAGGAACACCAGUGGCGAAAGCGACUUCCUGGUCGAAUACUGACGUUCAUGUGCGAAAGCGUGGGGAGCAAACAGGG